ACGAUUCCAAGGAUGUGCUGGCGCUGCAGGUGCACUCCUUGAAUUAAAACCCUUUCAUCCACCUGUGAACUCUCUGUAGGCAUCAAAGGUGUAGGACUUAUGUCCACACUUUUUAUGUCUACGUUUUUGUUAUACACACACAACAUUGCCACAGAAUGUACUUUCAUGUUGACGUAAAGUCAAACAACUAUAAUA
rnacentral:misc_RNA from 1 species